rnacentral:rRNA from 1 species
UACGGAGGGGGCCAGCGUUGUUCGGAAUCAUUGGGCGUAAAGGGCGCGUAGGCGGCCGGGCAAGUCGGAGGUGAAAGCCCUCGGCUCAACCGAGGAAUUGCCUCUGAUACUGCCUGGCUUGAGUCCCGGAGAGGGUAGCGGAAUUCCCAGUGUAGCGGUGAAAUGCGUAGAUAUUGGGAGGAACAUCGGUGGCGAAGGCGGCUACCUGGACGGGUACUGACGCUGAUGCGCGAAAGCGUGGGGAGCAAACAGG